UCGGCCUUAGUGUAUAUCAGUUUUCAUUCUGACCAAACACUGGACAUUGUACAUCCCUUAACCAAGAGUGUAUAUGUACAUCCCUUAACCAAGAGUGUAUAUGUAUAUCCCUUAACCAAGAGUGUAUAUGUAUAUCCCUUAACCAAGAGUGUAUAUGUAUAUCCCUUAACCAAGAGUGUAUAUGUAUAUAUCCCUUGAUCACUGAAAAGUUUUCUUCACGACCGUAAAGGAAAUUUUUAAACAAGAAUAAAGAAACAGAAGGAAGUGAAGGCGAACGGACGGACAUCAACCCAGACGGACGGACAUCAACCCAGACGGACGGACGGACAUCAACCCAAACGGACGGACGGACAUCAACCAGACUGACAGAAGGAACGGACAAACGGAUAAACGCCUACUAAAACUGCCAUUUACUGUAGAUAGAAGAUUCAUAAUAAUAACACGCCUCUGUCCGUGUGUUCGUAGUUGGGUCUCCUGAUGUGUGUUUCCUUCUUGUUAUUAAACAGCUGACGGCUUGGCACUUCAUGGUUAACCCAGAAUUAAUGGUGAACAAACAAAGGAAAUAAUUAUAAGGUGACUGUACGCAUUACGGUGAUUAAAACUAUGAAGGGGCCGUAACAAUGUAGUGACCGUAACAAUGUGAUGAGUGUAACAUGUGGUGACAGAACAAGACUAGUACAGAUCCACUUAAAAGAUUCUCGUGUUUGUGUUGGGUGUUGCUGGAGUGACCAUUGGUGAGGGGCGUCCUCAACAGGCCACCGAUCAAGAAGUGAAUCAACAACCAGUACCAGGACCCCUUGCUCUCAUCAACGAGAAAACGAUCGACACUAUUUUCGAAUUUCUGCCCACCCUGAGUGCCUCCCUCACCGACCAGGAAGGCACGCCCUUGGAGAGGAUGAACAAUGUGGCUCUCAGCUUUAUUCCUCUAGGUCAAUCAGCCGUCGACAAAGCUAAAAAUUCGAAGGAAAGGGAGUACCGCAACCGCCAGCAAAAAGCCGCAGAGCGCUUUUUGCCUCCCUUCCUGCAAGCCUUGACUGAUGUUAUAAACAGCUUCCCACCACCUACGACAUUCCCCCCUCCUCAGAUCCCGGAGUUUCCGACCUUCGACAAUGAGUUUGUGCCAGACAUUACUAUCCCAGAGGUUAAGAUUCCAGCGACCAAACUUGUCCCGGAAAUCAUCAUUCCCGAAAUCAAGACUCAGUAGGAGUGUCAAGAUCCAUAACAUACGUGGAAGAUCUACAGUAUGUAAGGCCUAAAAUUUUAAAUAUAAGUAACCAGAUUUCUUCCGUUACAUAAUUUGCUGAACUUCAUAGUGCAAAUUCUGUUUUUCCAGUAAAUUAAAAAUAGACUAGAGUUAUACCAGAUGGGUUAUGGGCAUAUUUGAAGUAUUAUGUGUAAAAAACAUUCUCUUCUAAACACAAUUAUAAAAAAUAUAAAAAAUAUGCAAUUUAAUGUUCUCUAAUAUUGAUGAAAGUUUGGAAGUAAAAACUAAUGGAAAAUCCAGCACAAGAUGUGUCCACCGUGAGAAACAACAUCAUUUGUUGUUCUUUGAAAAACUUAAUGUUACUAUUAAACGUCACAGACCUUC
rnacentral:lncRNA from 1 species